rnacentral:lncRNA from 10 species
GUUGGGUGGAGGUGAAGAGUUAAUGGCUCCGCGCGCAGGCACUGCCCUCUGAACUGGAACAAAAUGCAACUUCCGGUUGGAGUCACUCGGCCAGGCGCCGGCGACCUGAGGGGAGAGGGAACGCAGCUGAAAGCGUGAACUGAGAUGCUUUUGACAAGUUAUAAUAAGGGAGAGAUGGUAGUAAAGGAAGUGAAGAAGCGACGUGAAAUUGAAGGAAAAGAAAAUGACCUGCCUUCUUACCGCGGUUGGAAUACACACCCAAACGAGAGGUUUUGGUAUCAAGGUUAUGCUGGUUCCUAAAAAGAACUGGGCAGAGUUCCUCUUCCUCCGCUCUGAUGUAGUUUAAAUAGCCUAAGAACUCUGCUCUUUGAAGAUCUGAAAGAAUUCACUCAUGAAACCAUGUGGGUCUGGGAGUUCAUUGUUCUUAAGACAGCAACAAUACUCAGCAAAAUGGUUCAGAACAAACAAAAACUCCUUGGAGUAAAUACAAUUGAAUGAAAGAGUCUGGGACACGGUAAUGUCAAGAACUAAGAACAGCUGCUGUACUGAUGCUGGUUAUUUCCCCCCUACACACAACUUUUUUUUCAUGGACAAGGAAAAAUGCUGUAGGUAGGCUGAGGCUGUUAAGUAAAAUGUCUUGCUAUUCUUUCUCUUCUCUUCUUCAGUUAUGUUAC